rnacentral:rRNA from 1 species
AAAUGGUUUUCUUUACCCCGUCUUGUAACACGGACCAAGGAGUCUAACAUCUAUGCGAGUGUUUGGGUGUCAAGCCCGAGCGCGUAAUGAAAGUGAACGGAGGUGGGAUCCCGCAAGGGUGCACCAUCGACCGAUCCUGAUGUCUUCGGAUGGAUUUGAGUAAGAGCAUAACUGUUCGGACCCGAAAGAUGGUGAACUAUGCCUGAAUAGGGAGAAGCCAGGGGAAACUCUGGUGGAGGCUCGCAGCGGUUCUGACGUGCAAAUCGAUCGUCAAAUUUGGGCAUAGGGGCGAAAGACUAAUCGAACUAUCUAGUAGCUGGUUCCUGCCGAAGUUUCCCUCAGGAUAGCAGUGUUGAUCUUCAGUUUUAUGAGGUAAAGCGAAUGAUUAGGGAAUCGGGGGCUAAUUUUUGCCUUCAUCCAUUCUCAAACUUUAAAUAUGUAAGAAGCCCUUGUUACUUAAUUGAACGUGGGCAUUCGAAUGUACCAACACUAGUGGGCCAUUUUUGGUAAGCAGAACUGGCGAUGCGGGAUGAACCGAACGCGAGGUUAAGGUGCCGGAGUGGACGCUCAUCAGACACCACAAAAGGUGUUAGCACAUUUAGACAAUAGGACGGUGGCCAUGGAAGUCGGAAUCCGCUAAGGA